rnacentral:tRNA from 1 species
AGUUUUUAAGCUUUCAAAGCAUAUAUUUUGAAAAUAUAAAUUAGAAAUUAAUGUAUUUCUAUAAACUU